AUUUUAUUUUCUUUAUAUCAUUCCACAUUUGUUGUUAUUAGCACAGAGUGGAGUUAGGAAAAAUGCUUGAAUAGUGUUUAGCAUUUUGUAUUUGAUUUUACAUUAAAACAUGCAGGAUCCCUUCUUGUUAGCUGUAAUUUGAUCCAUUGUGCUGUUGCUAAACCUUUGUUUCAGUUAUAUCAUGUAACUUUAUAUACCAUAAACAAAAUACUGCACACAAAACUUUAAUAAAUCUCAGACAGAAACAGCAACAAGCUAUACAGCUUGUUGCUGCAUAGCUAUGCAGCAACAAGAAUACAUUUCAUGACCUCGCUAAAGAAGAAGGUAGCAACUUAUUAUUUUAUAAGGAUUUUCAGUUGAUAUUACUGCUAUAAAAAUACUUGCUGUUGUAUAGUUAAAGUUGAUGCAACGGUGAUUUCUUAUCCCAGAGCAUUUCAUGCCAUUAAGUUGUUGUUUAAGGCUUGAUUAAUAAUGCUUCCAGGGAAGUUGUGAUGUAGUGUUACACUUGCACUCUGUUCCUCUGCCCACUUUCUUAAGCUGCUUCUGUUUAUCAGAUUUGACGCAGGACGUUGUUUGUUAUUUAAAGGUCAGUCAUACUUUCUUUAUUUUGAACAACCCAAAUACAAAAACCCUUCCAAAAUCUUUCCCUCUGAAAAAAUCAAACUGUAGAGAUUGUUGGAUGGGAAAGUCCAUAGGCAGCAUGUUAAUCAAACAGAUCUACAGUAUGUCAUUAUGAACAGCUUGGUGCCUCAGACUGGUCUAAACAUCAUACAGAGAACAACUUCUUCUUUAGCAUGUCUCACAACAAUAAAGGAAAAAGCAAUAAGAUUAAAGUAAAAUGAAGUCUUCCUGGGUGGACUUCAUGCAAGAAUCCAGUACAAACUUUACUUUAGAAAACAUUUACAUUGAAAGUUUGUUCAGCAUAUUUUGGUCACACUUUAAAAUUACUUGACGUUCAACAAAAAGUAAAAGUAAGACCGUGUUGAUGCCAAAAAAAUGGUCAAAGUGCAAUACCCUUACAUGAUCCUCCAUGUCAUUUUGCUAAUGCUUUCAGACCUAGAACAGCACCAGCUGUCAUGCAUAGUGGUGGUAGCACCAUGCUGUGGGAUUGUCCUGUAAUAACGUUGCACAGAAUGGAUGAAAAAAUGAAGAUGGAGAAUUUCAUCCAAGUUCUUCAAACAACACAGAAAACUAUUUAGUUUUAACAAAGGCUGUUAAUUCACAGAAAUGUCCAGACAAAGUUAGCCUUGGCUGAUAAAGUGUGUGGCUCUGGUGCAUCUUGAUAAGUGUUUUUAAACCAACUAUUAGUGUGAACGUGUGUAUAAAUUAAAAUUUUCAUGUGUAAUUUUGAACAUUUGUUGAUUAGACAACAAUUGGUGCACACUUCAUUGUGCACCAAUUCUGGUUUUUAAAACUUUUUCAAAGUUACAUGAUGUAUAAAACAGUUAAAAAGAAUCACAGAAAGCCAAAAAUAAAUGUACCUUUUGUGCCCACAAUGAGUUAUUGAAUCUCUAUACCAUAAAAAACUGCUCUUAUAUGGAGAGGUCUAGUCCUAAUUAAGCUCUCAGAUAUAGUCCUUAGAACAAUCCGCAAACACUUUACUCCUCUAGUCUGGUGCUUCCCUUCUAAGCAAUAAUGAACAGCACAUAUAGGUCCACAGUUUGUUUAUCCAUUAAUUUUUUGUGCUGAAACCCAUGAAGAGACAUUUUGAAGCUGGGACAGUAAUAGACGUUUUGAAAAAAAAAAAAAAAAAUCAUAAAAUGCAGUUUUCUUAACAAACCAGAGUAUGACCUGCAAUAAGCUUUGCAGGUCGUUGGAGAGCGUGAGUAAUUUCACCUGGAUUAGGAGUUUUAGAGAAGUGGCACUUUGUCUUAUUGCAUUUGAGUGAUGUAGAAUUGAGCUUAAGGAGGGCAUUUAUUAGAAACUUGAAACUUCAGCCUUGGAGCAAAGAAGAGUAGCUACCUCAAGCCAAACUCAUCAUAGCUUUAACUUACUUUGGCAAACAGCUUUCCUAUUGUCCAUGUUGGGUCUAUUUUAGUUCCUAACCUGCAAGGAAUCAACCAAAAACACAAAUUGCUUUUCUGUAGGAGAGGGGAGCAGAGCCAGAGGCGGAGAACCGCCGUUAAACACUAUCUGGGGUCAAAGAAUUGACCAAAGACCUUUACUACGGGAUGUUCUGGAAUCUUCCGUGGACAUGCCCUUACAAGGGCACGAGGCUGACCGUUACCAAUCAGUUUCACAGGCAGCUGAUAACACAGGAAUGUGUAAACGUUUCUAACCCCCAAGCAAACACCCAAGAAACAGUUAAUAAUGUACCACAAGAGAAAAGAAGUCAAGUAAACAACAUACAAAAUAAUAAUAUGAAAACAUAACCUUUCAAAUAAACUCAUAAGUAAAUGAACUUAGAUAAUUUUUCUAACAGUGGUUAUAAUAAAUCAA